AUUGAACGCUGGCGGCAUGCCUUACACAUGCAAGUCGAACGGCAGCACGGGAGCAAUCCUGGUGGCGAGUGGCGAACGGGUGAGUAAUAUAUCGGAACGUGCCCAGUCUGGGGGAUAACGUAGCGAAAGCUACGCUAAUACCGCAUACGAUCUAUGGAUGAAAGCGGGGGAUCGCAAGACCUCGCGCGAUUGGAGCGGCCGAUAUCAGAUUAGGUAGUUGGUGAGGUAAAGGCUCGCCAAGCCGACGAUCUGUAGCUGGUCUGAGAGGACGACCAGCCACACUGGGACUGAGACACGGCCCAGACUCCUAC
rnacentral:rRNA from 1 species